rnacentral:rRNA from 1 species
AUUGAACGCUGGCGGCAGGCCUAACACAUGCAAGUCGAGCGGGGUUUUCGGACCUAGCGGCGGACGGGUGAGUAAUGCGUAGGAAGCUACCCGAUAGAGGGGGAUACCAGUUGGAAACGACUGUUAAUACCGCAUAAUGUCUACGGACCAAAGUGUGGGACCUUCGGGCCACAUGCUAUCGGAUGCGCCUACGUGGGAUUAGCUAGUUGGUGGGGUAAUGGCUCACCAAGGCGACGAUCCCUAGCUGGUUUGAGAGGAUGAUUAGCCACACUGGAACUGAGACACGGUCCAGACUCCUACGGGAGGCAGCAGUGGGGAAUAUUGGACAAUGGGCGCAAGCCUGAUCCAGCCAUGCCGCGUGUGUGAAGAAGGCCUUCGGGUUGUAAAGCGCUUUCAGUAGGGAGGAAGCGUUGUGUGUUAAUAGUACACAGCGUUGACGUUACCUACAGAAGAAGCACCGGCUAACUCUGUGCCAGCAGCCGCAGUAAGAC